CCAGCAGCCGCGGUAAUUCCAGCUCCAAUAGCGUAUAUUAAAGCUGUUGCAGUUAAAAAGCUCGUAGUUGGAUCCGAGUCUGAUGGGUCGGCGCUCUGCCAACCGGUGGAGGUCUGUCCGGCCCUGGACUGAAUUGCCGGGAGGGUCCUGGUGCCCUUGAUCGGGUGCCGGGGCCUGCCCGCAAGAUUUACUUUGAAAAAAUCAGAGUGCUCAAAGCAGGCCGGGAGAGCCUGAAUGCAAUUUCAUGGAAUAAGCGAACAUGACCUCCGUUCUGGUGGGUUCCAGUCCUGGAGGUAAUGAUCAAGAGGGCUUGACGGGGGCAUACGUAUUGCAGGGCGAGAGGU
rnacentral:rRNA from 1 species